UGUCGUAUGAAUGUUAUUUACCGUCCACAGUCCGCCGCCGGCUGCAGCAGGUCGGUGGCCCUCAGCGUGCUCUUGUUCAUUGAUGUUGAUUUAAAUUAUAUGACAAGAAAAAUGCAAAACCUAGAGUUGUCGUUCUAACCUGGUACCAGUAAGUAGUGUGCUACUAGAUAAGAAUAGAGCCAAGCAAAGAGUCAGGUUGCUUCUUGCUGCAUGUGUUGCUUGAGAGAGACGACAACACAAAUGAACUUCUCCAUCAGACCAGAAAGAGCUGAAAAGUUUUUUUUUUUUUUUUUACAGCUAUAGCAUGGGGAGUUGCUAGGAAUUUCAGCUAAGUGACUACAGACACAGAAAUUCAAUCACCUUCGAUUAAGGACAAACUUACAGAAAUUCUAUCGAUUGUAAUCUGAAUCGUUUUGGGAGGAACAUACAUUUCAAACUUACAAGUACCAGGACGCACAUAUAUUUGAUAUUACAACUUGGGUUUUCAGUUAUUUUAACAUCGAUUCUCAAUUAUCUAGGACCAGAUAAGAGUGUACAGUGUUGUCAUCGACGAUUGAAAAAUUUGGAACCCAUGUUUGAUAAACUGGCAUCAAUUUUAGUAUGCUGCAGUGUGUAGGCAUGGGUUAUGGGUAAAUAAAAAAAGGAAAAAAGAUAACUUGAAUAUGGCUGUUGCUUCGACAAAUGUAUGCUUUCUUACCUUGGACGCAAGCAAGCUCUGCAGGAGUAAAUCAAAUUUUUAUUGACCAGGUAUCUGUAUGGGUGUUAUGAAAGUUGCAAGUAUAUAUGUUCGAGGCUAAUAUUUUUGAUCCAAGCAUCAGUUAGCCCUACAAUGUGAAAAAAGAUUGCUAAGGUCUAGAAUGUCUGACCGUUAUCAGAAUUCAUGUUCAUCUCUUCUGCAACAUUGUUAUGAUAACCUAGACUUCCACUGCAUUUUUCCACAGCUUCCACGUAGGACUAAGCUUCAAGAACAUUGUGAAGGUUGUUCAGCAGCACAUGACGCGGAAUUGUUGAUAUGCUGCGGCACUGGGAAAUCUCUACACUUCCUGGAACAGUCUGAUGCAGUUGGCCGGCUGGUCGGCCGGCACCGGGGACCCCUGCAAAGAAGAUGGCAGGGUAGCAAGGGACGGCUUCUGCCCCGUAUGUUCUUUACUGAAUUUCGAUGAUGCCAUUCUUCUGCAGAAGCAUCUGAAAUAGAUUCCUGGAGUGCUGUCAUUUGUGGUGGAUCACUGGCUGAUCUUUUUUUGCUACUCAUGCUAAGGUUAUUUUUGCUUUGUUAUUUUUAUUAGAUUAGAUUUUGAUCUCAUGAGAUUUUGUUAUUAUUCUGGUUUUCGCUAUGAUUUGUAUCUCCGAGAGUGCUCACAUGACUAUGAUUUCCUGUAAAACCAUGUUGAGGACCAUCUGUUCUGCUUUAUCAUAGUGAUGAUUCGAUCUCAGAAUCGAGCAAACAUGGCAUUGGUCAUGCUAAUGAUUUCUAUAUAUAAAUUAGAUUUUGACCUCA